UGGCUAGCCAAUUUGACUUCCCUG
rnacentral:piRNA from 1 species